GGGCGGCUGGCGCAAUGGUAGCGCGUUGCUCUCCUAUUCAGAGCACCAAGCAAAGGUUGCAAGUUCGAGUCUUGCGUCGCUCG
rnacentral:tRNA from 1 species